rnacentral:rRNA from 1 species
UACGUAGGGUGCAAGCGUUGUCCGGAUUUAUUGGGCGUAAAGAGCUCGUAGGCGGUUUGUCGCGUCGACUGUGAAAGCCCGGGGCUCAACUCCGGGUCUGCAGUCGAUACGGGCAGACUAGAGUUCGGUAGGGGAGACUGGAAUUCCUGGUGUAGCGGUGAAAUGCGCAGAUAUCAGGAGGAACACCGGUGGCGAAGGCGGGUCUCUGGGGUGCAACUGACGCUGAGGCGCGAAGGCUAGGGUAGCAAACAGG